AAACACACGGCUACACCAAUGGCGAUCAACAGAACGUGGCCUGAAAAAUAAUUAAAAACAAAUUUAAGUGCACUUGUGAUGGAUUUUUCGUCGAAAUAUUGUAUAAUAUGGCAGGCUUGCAACAUCAUGUGAAUAAAUAGUGAAAAAGUGUUUAAAACUCGGGUCGUCUACAUUGAGUUGAGCCCAGCCACAUGAAAGUGGUAUAUAUAUAUAUAUAU